ACGGAAGGCAGCAGUGGGGGAUAUUGCACAAUGGGGGAAACCCUGAUGCAGCGACGCCGCGUGAGCGAAGAAGUAUUUCGGUAUGUAAAGCUCUAUCAGCAGGGAAGAAAAUGACGGUACCUGACUAAGAAGCUCCGGCUAAAUACGUGCCAGCAGCCGCGGUAAUACGUAUGGAGCAAGCGUUAUCCGGAUUUACUGGGUGUAAAGGGAGCGUAGACGGCGUGGCAAGUCUGAUGUGAAAGCUAUGGGCUCAACCCAUAAACUGCAUUGGAAACUGUCAUGCUAGAGUGUCGGAGAGGUAAGCGGAAUUCCUAGUGUAGCGGUGAAAUGCGUAGAUAUUAGGAGGAACACCAGUGGCGAAGGCGGCUUACUGGGCGAUAACUGACGUUGAGGCUCGAAAGCGUGGGGAGCAAACAGGAUUAGAUACCCUGGUA
rnacentral:rRNA from 1 species